AUUGAACGCUGGCGGAAUGCUUUACACAUGCAAGUCGAACGGCAGCACGGACUUCGGUCUGGUGGCGAGUGGCGAACGGGUGAGUAAUGUAUCGGAACGUGCCCAGUCGUGGGGGAUAACGUAGUGAAAAUUACGCUAAUACCGCAUACGAUCUAUGGAUGAAAGCGGGGGAUCGCAAGACCUCGCGCGAUUGGAGCGGCCGAUAUCAGAUUAGGUAGUUGGUGGGGUAAAGGCCCACCAAGCCAACGAUCUGUAGCUGGUCUGAGAGGACGACCAGCCACACUGGAACUGAGACACGGUCGAGACUCCUACGGGAGGCAGCAGUGGGGAAGUGUGGACAAUGGGCGAAAGCCUGGGCCAUCCAUUCCGCGUGCAGGAUGGAGGCCCUCGGGUUGCAAACUGCUUUUGUGCAGAACGAAAAUGUUUCUACUAAUACUAGGGGCUCACGACGGUACUGUAAGAAUAAGCACCGGCUAACUACGUGCCAGCCGCCGCGGUAA
rnacentral:rRNA from 1 species